rnacentral:rRNA from 1 species
AGCGUAGACGGCAAGGCAAGUCUGAUGUGAAAACCCAGGGCUUAACCCCGGGACUGCAUUGGAAACUGUCUGGCUCGAGUGCCGGAGAGGUAAGCGGAAUUCCUAGUGUAGCGGUGAAAUGCGUAGAUAUUAGGAAGAACACCAGUGGCGAAGGCGGCUUACUGGACGGUAACUGACGUUGAGGCUCGAAAGCGUGGGGAGCAAACA